rnacentral:rRNA from 1 species
CAGUCGCCACGGUAAUACGUAGGUGGCAAGCGUUGUUCGGAAUUAUUGGGCGUAAAGCGCGCGCAGGUGGUUUAAUAAGUCUGAUGUGAAAGCCCACGGCUCAACCGUGGAGGGUCAUUGGAAACUGUUAAACUUGAGUGCAGGAGAGAAAAGUGGAAUUCCUAGUGUAGCGGUGAAAUGCGUUGAGAUCGGAAAGAACACCAACGGUGAAAGCACUCUGCUGGGCCGACACUGACACUGAGAGACGAAAGCUAGGGGAGCAAACAGGAUUAGAUACCCGGGUAGUCCCUGUCUCUUAUAC